CAUGGCUGCAAAUGGUGGACAAUCUCCCUCCCAGAUUCUUCCCUCUACUCCGGGAAUAACGGCUGCCGAGAAUUCGGUUAUCUGCCCUGCUGAUGCCCAGUUGCUUGCUGUGUUCUUUUGUUAAAAAUAAAGCUUGUUGAAAAUUGUCCUGGUCUGCCUGUCUGAAUAUUGGAUCCAAGUUUAUGAGGUUAUUACACCUUCUGGGUACAAGGGCUUGUCACUUGGUUAGUACCCUCCAACCUCCUACUUUGGAACCCUCAACUGUUGAGUAAGGUGCCUGUCUGCGAUAGUCUAUGUGCAAAAGGCAGGGUAUACUGUGGACAGGUCGUCAGUCCAUCACAAAGCAGCAAAGAGACACACAACCAUGGACACACACUCACACCUAAGGACAAUUUAAGGAUGCCAACUAACCUAACACUCCAUUUUAUAACUGAUAACUUCCUGAUCCACUGGAUAAGCCUGGUCCUUCUACCCCUUGGAAGGAAAUAUUCUUCUCUUUGAGCAAGGGGAAAUCUUCAUCUGAUCAGUUCAAGCCCUCC